AAUCCAUGAUGAGGAUGAAUUUAUGCCCAGUAUUUGAGAGAAAGAAACAGAUUGGAGUAAGUCCACGGGUAUCUUUAUUAAUGUUUUGUUCUCUUUCCUUGCAGGAGAACCAUGUCCAUGACAAGCUGGUACCUCAUAGUUUGCUUCAGAAAGACUUUGUGCCUUUCCUGUUGAAUUUUUUAAGGGAACAGACUAGUCAGAUCUUGACCAAUGGGCCCUCUACCCCUGCUAAAACCCCAAAUUCUAAGGUCCUCAGGAGCGCAGCUAGCCAUGGGAGCCAAAAGACAGGGUCAGAAAUGAGGGCAGGCAACUCAGCAGGAUCAUGCAGCAGCCGAAUGCAACUCUUUUCCCAGAGGACCCCAGCUAGCUCCUGUACCCCAGAUGCUAGUUUUCCCUCCUCUGCUGCAUCAUGUGGCUCUUCUGCCUUUACUGGGUCAAGCUUAUCUCGCCCCGGCAGUGAUUUCCUCAACACCAGCCCAAGCUUUGGUUGCAGCCCUGUGCUCAACCACAGCGAGAAACGUUCAUCUCAGAAGGCCAAUUUGGGCAGCUUCCUUAUGCCCACACCAGAUGUCCAGCCAGUGAGGCGAGGCAGAAGAAAAGGCAACAAUUCUGCCAGUGCCACUGGCCGGCAAGUGGCUCGGGACAUAGGGCGAAGCCUCACUGAAGAGGAGGAUGGGAAGGGUGACAGCGCAUCGUUGAGUGGCGGGAGGAGGAAACGGAGUGAGGUGGGUCCUACCUCAGCCAGUUCCCCACCUGAUCAGCUGAACCUCAACAACUUGGAGGAGUUCCCACCAAUGAGUGUUGCUUCUGGCUUGACAAACAAAAGCAAGCCAUCAAGACGAAUCAACCCAACUCCAGUGAGUUCUGAGCGCUCUCACUCAAAACCUAAGAUGUGUUUUACUUCCACGCCAGUCAGCCAGUCUCCAGCUGCUCGGUUUCCAUCUGGGACCAGUCUUGAGACCUUUGCUGCCAUCCAGGAAGGGAAUGUUACCUCCAUAACAGGGAGCAGCCUUCAAGAGGAGAGGGAGAUGCUGAAGAAAGAACGAUGCAAGUUGCUGCACCAAACAUCAUCUCCUGCAGGCCUGUCUCUGGAUCCCAGUACACCUACCAAGCCUAAUUACAGUUGGAAUGGAAACCUCACUACUGAUAGUCAGGUAGUGACCUGUGCAGAUCUCAGUAAAGUUUCCUGCAAGAAACAGCUGGAACAGCUGGCUCAGCUCUAUUCAACUUGUAUAGCAGAAAAUCUGGUUCCAAAUAUUUUCCUGGAGCUCUUCUUUGUCCUGCAGCUGCUAACAUCCAAGGGAACAACUUCUUCGGAAGAUGGUGAGAAUGACCUGGAAUUCAAUCAAGAAUGUAAAGAUGCAGUAGAGCGGCAGCAUUUUCAAAAUGUACACAACUGUGUUUAUUUCGCUGUGCAGGUUUUGGAUUGUCAGUUUGAAAUUAUUUCUCAUUUAGAAAGGGGGACAUUGAAACUUUUGGCUGAGAAUGAGCGAAUUGCAUCCUUUUCCCCUGGCUUGCAUGCGAGGCUUAUGAAAGCUUAUGAAAGCAGCACAGCCAAGGUGUCCCUCCUGCUGCCUUCAUCUGUCCAGUCCGUUUCUUUCCAGCCAGAAACGGACAAUCGUUCUAACUUUCCAAGUGACAGGGCUUUUCAUAUAUUUAAGAAGCAAAGGGACAUCUUUUAUGAAUUGCUGCGUGAGUGGGAGGAUAACCAUGAAAAACCAGGCUGGGACUUUGAAAGAGUUCUGGGCAACAGGAUCAGGGCUAUGAUGAAUCACCUCACAGCAGCCUAUAAUCACAGCCACUUUGCCAGGCUCUUUCAGAAACAGCUUAUCCAGAUGUGUAAAGGUCCUAUUGGUGGUGGCACAAGUUGGGGAGAUACCCCAGACCAGGAUGUCCUUAAUAUGCUGGGUUCCGAUAACCUGAGCCGGCUGAAGAGGCUACAGGAGAGAUUUGUCGUUCCUCAGAGCAUCAGAGGGCCCUGCCCGCCCCCUGCCUUCCCAGGGUGCCAGCAGUUCUUCAGGGACUUCAUUCUCAGUGCAGGAAGCUACCCGUUCAACCAACACCUGAUGGAUAGCCUGUGUCUAAAGAUACUCGAGCUGGAUGGCCUUACUUUGGUAGAGCAUGAACCUAGUGAUGGGGAGGCAGAUAUGGAUGAACAGGAUGAAAAAAAGCGAUUCACUGCAGCCCUUAUGACUCUCCGACUCCUGGCAAAGUUUCUAGGAUUUCUUGUUUUCCUGCCAUACCAAACAGUGGAACCACCAAGCAGAGACUUGCAGGAGUCUGCGGUGACAUUAAGGAACCAAACCCUGCCUGUACUGGAUGUAUUGAAGCUCCUGAGACGAUCUAUCUUGAACCGACGUACUAUCCUUACCGUUCCUUGGAUUGUGGAGUUCCUUUCCCUUGUGGACCAUUUUGCUCCAUUCCUUGACUACUACGGGAGGGUGUUUUCCCUCCUACUGCAGCUGUACAGGUGCCUGGUUCUUUCUGAAGAUAAGGAGAUGAGUUUCCUAAACAAGCUACUGAUACUUGCCGUGCUGGGCUGGCUUUUUCAGGUCCCCUCGGUCCCAGAGGAAUUGUUCUUCACCAGUGAAGUCAAACAGGAGGGGUUGAUGAGGGACACUAUGACAUCUGCUCAGGCUUUGGAUUCUGUGCCUUUGGUGGAUCAGCAGUUACUUUAUACCUGCUGUCCCUUCCUUGGUGAACUACGGAAGCUGCUGGCUUCCUUUGUGGCUGGCAGUGGAGCAAAGAAUGGUGGCUUUAUAAGGAAAAUAACCCCAACUGCUGCAGAGUCCUUGACACCUAAACCUUCUGUCACACAGCAGAAAUUGCAGGUGGAGCUGGAGCAGGCCUUCUUCCACAACCAGCCUCCAUCCCUGCGGAGAACGGUGGAGUUUGUGGCAGAGAGGGUGGGAUCCAACUGUGUUAAGCAUAUCAAGGCAACACUGGUAGCAGAGCUGGUCAAAAGGGCAGAGGUCAUGCUGCAGGAUAAGGUAAAGGAAGAGGAUGCUAAUCAUAGCAAACUGCUGGACAAGGUGUGUGCUCAGCUGUAUGAAGAAGGGGCGCAGGCUCUCCACAAAGGCAGAGAAUUUUGCAGGUUGAAAGGGCCUGAGGCUGUGAGAGUGCUGCUGCCAGAGGAGACAUCAGCAGCAGUUUUGAACAGUGCAGAAGACAUUGCGGUAGGACUGGCUACUGAGAAGGCCUGCACCUGGCUGUCAACCAACAUCACAGCACUGAUCAAAAGAGAAGUGAGAACUACCUUUAAUCGGAUGUUGAGAGUCCAGGGUCCGUCCUUGUUCAGUGAGGACACACAGGGGGAGAGGAAAGGUUGUCCCCCCAACUGCCAGCACCAUGCUCCGUUCCCCUCUCAGAUCAUCAAUGAGAUUAAAGAUGUGCUCUGUAUUGCUGUGGGACCCAGGGAUGAAGAUGAAGGAAUUCUCUAUGUCCAGCUGGAGUGCUUGCUGAAAAGACUGAGCCAAACGCUUCAGUGCAGAAAGUUCAUGUGUCCCACAUCGGAGCAGCAGCUGGCUAGGUGCACUGUAGAGUUGGCAUCUCUCCUAGUUUCAGAUCGUGUUCCUAUCCAGGGCCUUAAGCCUCAGACCCAGAAGAAACCUGAAAGACAGCGAGGGAAGAAGAAUGCUGUCUACGGCCUUCUGAAAUCGCUGCUGUCGGUUUGGAAGGAAGAUUUUUGGACACCUGUUCCUGUUCAGCUGAUGUUCAGCAGGAAGAAUGUCGGCUACAUCGCAGAAGUUGAGCAGCGUGAGUGGGAUUUGUUCCUUUUUAUGCUUCAUGGUCUUGUUGACCAUGGUCUGAUGGGAAAUGCAGAGAUAGAGAGCUGCUUGCAUAGCCUCCAGGAACUUCUCUGGUCCUCAGAUUUCUUGGAAGAAUUGGAAACUAUUUCUAGAAUAUUUAUAUCCGAGUAUCAUGUUGCAGAACCCAGGACUAGGCCUUGUGAAUUGGUGAGACAACCAAGAGGUACUGUGGCAGCACAAAGCUAGUGCAGACAAUCUCUGUAUGGAUUAAGGAACUGAGGAGAACUCGACAUGUGAAAUUUGAUAAUGCUGCUGAGUCCAUGCAGUAAGCCCCUUGCUUGGAUCGCAAUGCAUUGAAAGGUCACUUGUGUAAAAACUGCAUCGAACUUUUCCUCGAAGGAGGGUCACUAAGUGUGACAGGAACACACAUCCCUACAUCUGCAAAUGGAAAUGCUUCUAAAAGUUGCUCUCUAAGUUUGGAACUCUUAACCUGACCGUGGUUCACAGCUGAUGCUCUACACUUGUAGUGGAAACACAUCAUGUACUCCUGCAGCAAGAGGCUCUGAACAGCGUUUGGAAUCCGUUCUCGUGCACAAAACCUGCUACACUGCUGGAGGGAUUUCUGGUGGUUUCCCAAGUAGUAUAAGAUAAAAGUCAGACAUGGCAAUGAAGAAAGGCCCGAGUACCCAUGUGCAGGCUAGGACUGAGCACCAACCAGUCUUUACACAUUUACAGCCUGACAACAGUUUCUCUGAGGAAGAGGAGGAGAAAAAAGAUAAUGAAAAUUCACAGACUGCUGCUUACAUAAUACAGUUGUCUUAGGUUCUCCUCUUAAGAGUAUGAUCAACUCCUCCCACUGCCUAAAUAUGCAGACACAACACCACCAGCCAGGAGUGACAUACCGACAACGCAUCUGAGCAUCUCUAUAAGACAGCCCUACCCCUCUGACCAGCAACGAGACAUACACACACUGCCUCAGGAGAAUAAUCAGGAGAACAAAUGUACAGUCCUUUCCCUAGGCCAGAACAAGACUCCUGUAAGUCAACACACAACAUAUGCUCCACAGAAGACAGUGGUAUCUCUGCAAAAUUCUAGCUCAGCUGGAACUAUACUCUAUCUCAACUACCGCCUGUGAUUUCAACUGAAUAUAGCAUUCUUCAGUUCGUGUGCUGAAGUGCUAUAUAAUGUUGCUGUGCACUGUUACUCAGCUGCUGUAUCCCACCCUAGAUGUGACAGUAUUUCACAGGUGGGUGAAGUGAUCCAUUACGUACUUCAGAACUAUAAAGCUCUGAGAUGUCCAAAUGGGAGCCAUUGUUAGAAUUUUAAAAUAGUAUUAUGAGAAUAUUACGAGGAAAUUCUCCACGUUCACCAUAUUGCAAUGGAUUAAAUAUGUUAACAUGAAUUACAAUGUCUUCCAAUAGCUAUAAAUAAACAAUUUUUUUAAAAUUCUUUUAAACUGGAUGAAAAAACACCACCAUUGUAAUUAAAAAAACAGAGGCGGGAGGCAGAGGAGGGGAAGAAAGAGAAAGGAGGAAGCUUGGAGGUGUUAUAUAAAAGUUGAUUAUUUCUCCAAGAAACUAAAAUGCAACUUCAGUGUAUAUUUCUGGGAUGCUGCUUCUUUCACUGUCUAGUUUUUUGUAUUUUUUUUAAAUGGAUCUGAUUUUGAUCUUAAACACUUGGACUUCUUAAACACUUUAUUCUAUAAUGCCAUCCCUUCCUCAUCAAAACAGAGCACAAUUUAUCAAGGAAAUUUGGGAUAUAUUGUGAUUAUCUGAAUAUCUGAGACCCCUAAUGAUAAAGCAUAGGUUUUGUUUUAAAUCCAUUAAUUCUGAUACACAGUAUUUAUGUAAUGCAUUAUUCUGAAGCUACUUUUUAUUAGUAUUUUAAAAACAGACUGACUUGCUUUGCUAUGGCCCUUUCUUAGUAAAAAAGUAACAUGCUUUCUUUCUCUUUCAGUGAAAUCCUGGCCUUACUGAAGUCAAUGGUAAAACUCUCUCUAACUUCAGUGGCACCAGGAUUUAACUUUUAUACCUAUUGUAUUGGUAGUUCAACCAGUAUUUGUGACGGUGCCCCGAUAUGGCUUUAUGGAAUAUGCUUAUGAUUGUAUAUGUGACAUAACUAGAAUAUGUUUUAGGCUACAUAUGCCAUGUAACAUUUCUGUGUAAAGGUUAUGAUCUACCGAAUAUAUUCAUCCUAUUUGUAUGCAUGUACAUUUUUUGUACUCGAAGUUAUGAAUGUUGGCUGUGUACUGGCUUGAUUUUAACUAGCCUAGUAGAGCAUUUGGUCAGCAUCUUGAGAAAAGUGCAAAUUAAGUGCCCAAUCAAAAACCACUUAAACCAACAAUGAACUUGAAGAUGCCAAUCCACAUCUGAGCCUUCCCAGGAAUGUGGCAUAGCUGGUAAAAACUGAGUCAUGCAUGGACAUGUGACUGCCCAUGUGACUCCAAAACUCCAUCUUGGAGCUGGACUUUGCAUAGGAGUAAGGAGGGAGUCUCCACCCACAAGAGAAAAUCUACUUAAACCCCCAGGAGACCCCUCCAUUUUGUCUUCAUUUGGUUAAAGAGAGAGAGCCUUUCCACCCCCAAGGAUACCUAAAAGAAACUGGAACAAAAGGACAGUAACUACAGGGGGUGUGAGUGAUUGCUGGACCCAGACCAGCAGGAGACUAUUCUGUAAAAGGAAGCUUACUGGAACUGGUGAGGUUUUAUUUGUAUUUAGUUUCUUAGACAUAGAAUUGCGUGUUCUAUUUUAUUUUACUUGGUAAUUCACUUUGUUCUGUCUGCUAUUACUUGGAACCACUUAAAUCCUACUUUCUGUA